rnacentral:misc_RNA from 1 species
GAUGAAGAACGCAGCGAAAUGCGAUAAGUAAUGUGAAUUGCAGAAUUCAGUGAAUCAUCGAAUCUUUGAACGCACAUUGCGCCCGCCAGUAUUCUGGCGGGCAUGCCUGUUCGAGCGUCAUUACAACCCUCAGGCCCCCGGGCCUGGCGUUGGGGAUCGGCAGAAGCCCCCUGUGGGCACACGCCGUCCCUCAAAUACAGUGGCGGUCCCGCCGCAGCUUCCAUUGCGUAUUAGCUAACACCUCGCAACUGGAGAGCGGCGCGGCCAUGCCGUAAAACACCCAACUUCUGAAUGUUGACCUCGAAUCAGGUAGGAAUACCCGCUGAACUUAAGCAUAUCAAUAAGCGGAGGA